rnacentral:lncRNA from 1 species
UGUAGCACAAAACCAACUUUGAUUGAAUUGGGCUUUCAAUUUUUGAUAGGUGGCACCUGCAAAGUGCAUCAGACACAGCAUCAUUGGAGACUCUUGCCAACACCAGUUCUCCUGGUCCAGUCACCAGUUGUGACGUUUCAACAUGGCUGCUCCUGUUUUCCUCCCAGCGCUGGUACCAAAUGGCUGUCCCACAUGGCCCUAUGAUUUAUGCAGGAGCAGAGGCAGCACGCAAUCGAGCUGUCAAGAGAGCGUCAGCUUAUUAGGCAAAUGCUGCGUGGUUUCUGAAGAGGGUCGACGCUAUAAAAUCCCACUCCAGGCUCUGGUGUGGAGAAACUCAGAGCCCAAAUCGGUUGAGAGACUGGAGAGAAGGAGAAGAGAAGAAAAAGAGAGUGAAGACAGAAAGGAGAAGAGAAGAAAAACCCUUGAAAAAGCCCCGGAGACUUUCCUCUGCAGAGAGGCGGCAGCGCCCCACUCACCUGCAGAAGCACCUCAGAAGGUAGGGAGCGCCUAGACGGAAAUGUGCCUCCAACUUUGCAUUGCCUGGGCUGCCACGGUGUGCGAGGCCGAGCCAGGUGUCCCGGUGGGGCCGAAUGUUGAGUGUGUGCGUGUAUUUGCUGACUGUGCCUCAAGAUUCUGAUAGUAACUGGGAUGUGUCAAAAGCAAAGUUAGACGGUUGCUAAUCGUUUUUCAAACUGCCAGUUACUCGUCACUGGCGGUGUAGACGAGCCCCCACCUCCCCCGCCAUCGAUCCCGACCCCUGAGAGAAGGACUUCAGGGCUAGGAUAGAGAAAGAGGAGAAGGAGGAGGAGGAGGAGGAGGAGGAGGAGGAGGAGGAGGCAGUUCUCAUUUGGGAGGACAACGCUGAAACAUCCGGAAGGCGGGCGGGUAUUUACAGCGGGUGAGAUACGAAAUUUGUAGAUCUUCUCGAGAGCUCGGGGAAUCAGUUUUGGGGAUCGUUAGAAAGGGGACUCAGAGACCCUUCGAGGGUCUCAGAAGGAGAAGGGUCACUCCAGCCUGGCGUGGGGCUGAGUUUUGGUGCUGAGCCUUGUAGGCGUCCCCUUUCCUGCCCCGCCCCGCCCCCCAACUCUAGAAGUCCCAGUUCGGGCGCUUCAGCACCGCGGACAGUGACUGCCCGAACGCCUAAGGCAGGUCCACGGGUGUAAGUGUAGGAAGACCCCCAAGCGCACCUUCCGUUUGAGCUCAACUCUGACCAACUCUUUCUUUCUCUCUUCCCUUCUCUCAUUCCGCUCUCCGCCCACCUCUGUGCCGCAGCGAGCGCCCCUAACAUGCGGCUGCCGCUUCUCUUGUCCGCGGGCGUCCUGCUGGUGGCUUUCCUGCCCUGCCCGCCAUGCAGGGCCCUCCUCAGCCGGGGACCCAUCCCGCGC